AGUGAACGCUGGCGGUAGGCCUAACACAUGCAAGUCGAACGGCCGCACAGUAAGAUCUUGCCCUUACGGGUGGCGAGUGGCGGACGGGUGACGAAUACAUCGGCAUCUACUUUUUCGUGGGUGAUAACGUAGGGAAACUUACGCUAAUACCGCAUACGACCUACGGGUGAAAGCAGUGGAUCUUCGGACCUUGCGCGAUUGAAUGAGCCGAUGUCGGAUUAGCUAGUUGGCGAGGUAAAGGCCCACCAAGGCGACGAUCCGUAGCUGGUCUGAGAGGAUGAUCAGCCACACUGGAACUGAGACACGGUCCAGACUCCUACGGGAGGCAGCAGUGGGGAAUAUUGGACAAUGGGCGAAAGCCUGACCCAGCAAUACCGCGUGAGUGAAGAAGGCCUUCGGGUUGUAAAACCCUUUUGUUGGGAAAGAAAAGCAGCAGGUGAAUACCCCGAUGUUCUGACGGUACCCAAAGAAUAAGCACCGGCUAACUUCGUG
rnacentral:rRNA from 1 species